UACGUAGGUGGCAAGCGUUAUCCGGAUUUACUGGGUGUAAAGGGCGUGUAGGCGGUCUUGCAAGUCGGAAGUGAAAUUCCCGGGCUUAACCCGGGCGCUGCUCCCGAAACUGCGAGACUUGAGUACUGGAGAGGAUAGUGGAAUUCCUAGUGUAGCGGUAAAAUGCGUAGAUAUUAGGAGGAACACCAGUGGCGAAGGCGGCUAUCUGGACAGUAACUGACGCUGAGGCGCGAAAGCGUGGGGAG
rnacentral:rRNA from 1 species